UACGGAGGGCGCAAGCGUUGCUCGGAAUCACUGGGCGUAAAGCGUACGCAGGCGGAAAGACAAGUCGGGUGUGAAAGCCCGGGGCUCAACCCCGGAACUGCAUUCGAAACUGGCUUUCUUGAGUACGGGAGAGGGAAGCGGAAUUCCUGGUGUAGAGGUGAAAUUCGUAGAUAUCAGGAGGAACACCGGUGGCGAAAGCGGCUUCCUGGCCCGAUACUGACGCUCAUGUACGAAAGCGUGGGGAGCAAACAGG
rnacentral:misc_RNA from 1 species